rnacentral:tRNA from 1 species
GCACCCAUAGCUCAAUUGGAUAGAGCGUCUGACUACGGAUCAGAAGGUUAGGAGUUCGAGUCUCUUUGGGUGUACCA